rnacentral:rRNA from 2 species
AAGCCUGAUGGAGCAACACCGCGUGAGUGAAGAAGGUUUCGGCUCGUAAAACUCUGUUGUUGGAGAAGAACGUGCGUAAGAGUAACUGUUUACGCAGUGACGGUAUCCAACCAGAAAGUCACGGCUAACUACGUGCCAGCAGCCGCGGUAAUACGUAGGUGGCAAGCGUUAUCCGGAUUUAUUGGGCGUAAAGCGAGCGCAGGCGGUUGCUUAGGUCUGAUGUGAAAGCCUUCGGCUUAACCGAAGAAGUGCAUCGGAAACCGGGCGACUUGAGUGCAGAAGAGGACAGUGGAACUCCAUGUGUAGCGGUGGAAUGCGUAGAUAUAUGGAAGAACACCAGUGGCGAAGGCGGCUGUCUGGUCUGCAACUGACGCUGAGGCUCGAAAGCAUGGGUAGCGAACAGGAUUAGAUACCCUGGUAGUCCAUGCCGUAAACGAUGAGUGCUAGGUGUUGGAGGGUUUCCGCCCUUCAGUGCCGAAGCUAACGCAUUAAGCACUCCGCCUGGGGAGUACGACCGCAAGGUUGAAACUCAAAGGAAUUGACGGGGGCCCGCACAAGCGGUGGAGCAUGUGGUUUAAUUCGAAGCUACGCGAAGAACCUUACCAGGUCUUGACAUCUUGCGCCAACCUCAGAGAUGAGGCGUUCCCUUCGGGGACGCAAAGACAGGUGGUGCAUGGUCGUCGUCAGCUCGUGUCGUGAGAUGUUGGGGUUAAGUCCCGCAACGAGCGC